rnacentral:lncRNA from 1 species
GGAGGAGUUAGGAGGAGGAGAAGAGCGGAGAAUUCGAGAAGGAGAGUUGUCGUGUUUGGGUGAUAAGAAGCUGAGUCUUGGAUUUCCAUGUGAGGGAGAGAAGGUUUUUGAGGAAAUGAGAUUUGGAGAAAGAAAACGAUGAUGAUAGGAGCAAAGACAAAAAGUAGCCAUUGUAGUGUUAUCCUUGGAUUAGCUCAUUACAAAGAUGGAUUUUGGCAAUUUGAUAGUCCUCCUUUUUUCUUUUCUAUAUUUGUUUCUUGCAAAUGUCGGGGAGAAAUUGAGUGGGUUUGGUGGCGGUGGAAUCUAGCAAGUAGAAGAAAUCCAGCAUCUACAACAAAAUGAGACAAGACAUAACUAACGUUAAGGACUCAAAUGAGCUUGUAAAUUUCUUGGAAAACUUCAAAUUAAUCUAUGAUGCAUUACCCAAUCAUCAAUUAACUCCCAAAACAAAAACUUUUAUCAAUUAGGUCCGAAUUGUGUGCUUCCAAGUAGACGUGUUCAAGAAUAUAGUUUCGUCAGGUUGCAGCUCAUAUAUCAAACUUUAACUUUUGAUAUUUUAUAAAUUAUAAACCUAACAUAUUUAAUUUUUAUAUACCUGAACAUGUUAGCAUGUUGAAUUGAGCUAAUUUUUUAUGUGAAUAUUAUAUAUAUCCAUGAAUGGAGCUUGUAUUGUUAAUUUUUAUGGGUUUAUAUUUAUAGACCAAUCAUAAUAUGGAUUGCAAGUCCCUUGACACCCUUAUUAUUAGGUCUAGUUUUUAUAUCUUCCACUACUAUUAAAUUUUAGUUAUCCCAUCCCCUCUAACAACGAGCUUGUUAUGUCUAAUUUUUAUAUUUCACAUCAUAAUUAAAUUAUAGUUACUUCUUUCCUCUCCAGUAAAGAAACUCACUAAUAAGAACUUUAAAGCCGAAAUAUUUCUAAAUAAAAUAAAAAUAAAUAUUCAAUCCACAAACUAUUAAAUAUUAAAACACAAAGAAUAUAAGGUAUACGGGUCAAGUCGAGUUGAUCGAGUUUCAAAACUCCUGACUUGCCACCCAACCCUAAUAUCUAUUUAUUAAGUUUUUUCAUUCAUAAUCAUUUAUAAUAUUUAUAUUAUCCGACUAUAACGAGUUGGAUUGCAUCAGAUAAAACAAAUAUUAUAAAUUAGUUAGUUUUUUUAAACACCACUAUUUUCAAAGGUUUCUUAAUUGGAAUCGGAUGGCAUGGAGUGAAAAUGAUCAGGGAAGAAGGUGAAUAAGAAUAAGCAUUUGUCAUUAUUUUGGAACAUGGAAAUGGAAUACAAGUAACCUAAAUUGGUUUGGAAAUUCAAACACAAUUCUUAAUCCACGAAAGAUUCUAGACCGCUUGUAUAAAAUUCAAUUAAUUGAUGCUUAUAUUUAAGAUGAAAAUAACUAUAUAGUAAGGGGAUUAAAAGUAUCUCAAGAUUCAUGACUAACAUGGGAAUUCAAUGAAGUCAUCCUUUUGUAUAGAAAAUCCCAUCUGAUUGACAUUUUUCAUUCUUUAUUUAUUAGUGCGUGUCUUUCGUACUGAUAACCUGCAUGAAAAUGCAAGAAGCUCGCGUAACACAAAACUAUAUUCGAUAAAUAAUUUUAAACACUAUUAUUGUCUAAAAUUAAUUCUUCACGGUGAAAAAAUUCUACAAUAUAAUACGUACUGUGUGUGUGUGUGGAAGGGGUGAUACUCCAUUGUUUUCCUCUUACAACUUCAAAAUCACAUUGACAUCACCAGAACAACACAUGUAAUAACAAGAAGAAGAAAAUAAUAGCCAAUGCGAAAAACCAACAACCGAAGUCCCCAUGUUCUCUGUAAGGAUCAUCGCCCCAGUCCAAAGCCUCUUUGCUGUACUUUUUUCUUGGAGUCAAAUCAUUUCCUUCUUGUUCAGCUAAUCUGAUAUGAGACAUUAUGUGAGGAAAAACUUUCUCAUGAGACUUCUCUCCGAUCAAUAAAUCUGAAUGCCCAAAACCGUCCACCACCGCCCUUUCAUGUCUAAAACCAGGUUGGUGCAGCUUCAUGUACUUGUUAGCAAGAUAAGAAGUCUCAGGGGUCACAAGGAGACUCCGCCCUCCAGAAAUAUACAGCGUUGAUAUUGCCAUUCUCUCUGGAUGGAUCAAGAAUGAGUUGUUACCAUUACUGUCUACAAUAUAUCCAGAGUUGCAGAUUCUUCUCAGGUGAGGAAAUGCUGACAUGGGAAGCUUUGUGGCGCUUUGUGUAUUCAACCAGUGGUGCAGGGCGGGGCUUACAUUUUCAUGCCAGAAUGCGUUUCCAAAUAUUCCAGAGAGGACCUCACACUCCUUGCACGUGCAUCUCUCAUAUCGUGGUAUACACCGAGCUAUGAAUUUCAAGAGCCUGUGCCCAGAGCUUCCCUUUGAUUUUUCCAAAAGAGGUAGGGUUUUAUUCUUGCCCAGUAUAGCCAUUGAUAUCUGCAGAUUGAGUUCGGUUAUAAAAGAGUCUGAAUCAAGAAGAAAAGACUGGUAUGAACUCUUCUGAACCUUAUAGAAAUUGUUUAAAUCCCUAUUGGAUCAAUUCAAGGUUUAGGAAAUUAAAGACACUUUUGUUGUCGGAGUUGGACCUGAAGUAUAUUUUUUUCUAAUGAAAAAAGGACUUCAUUACUACUAGUUUAUGUUUGCUUCCAAUAUUAAUAAUAUGUGGUCACAACAAAGAAUUAGUGCUGUAGCCAAAAUCUUUAGCUAAAUUAACAUGGUAUUUUCUUAUGAGUAAUUUCUUAGAUGUAAUCUGAUAUUGCGUAAUGGCUGCAAUUUCUUAUAUUUGAUAGUAAAAUCUUGUGGAGCAGGAUUUACCAGCAACGUUAAAUUUUCAUAUACAUAUAUAUUUUCUUAUUAAUGUUUUUGCUUUGGUUUUCCUGGAUAAACAUAGACUAGCGUAGUAAAGAUCAAGCAUCUGCAUUUGUUCCAAUGGAUAUUCUAAUGUUAGUUAUUCAUUUACUCACACUGUGAAUAGUGAAUUUCAACCAAUACUAUGUACAAUCAUAUUAACAUCUUGCAGCAAAAAUGAAAGAAAUCCCAUAAAUAUAAGCGAGCAGAGUUGAAGAGCUUACUGGGACCAGGGGAAGCCACAUUUUGAUUGUGGCCAAUGCCGUAAGCCUGAAGAACAUUGAAGAAUUGGUACAAGACAGAGAAGCUAUAUGGGUCGCAGAGACAUGCCCUCCCAUGAGAGCUAUAUGAAUGGCCAAGCCUCCAGCACAGUGUGCCACUACAUGAAUCUUUGUGCUGGGCCCGUGAACUUCAAGGAUCUUACCAAAUACUGCAAACAUAAAGGUCAGAAAAUGCUCAAUGCAGAACGUAAUGAACAAGUAAGAAUCAACAUUCGUGUAAUGUUCAUUUGCGUUUUCCAUACCAGCAGGGAUGUCAUAUUUUCCAAUAUCUUCAAUAGUAGCGUUGUUUGCAGGAUUCAGAGGGUGCAAUCUAGUCUGCAAUAGCCAAACUUGAUGCCCUUCUUCCAACAAAGUUCUGACUAAAUCAUGUGGUUCUGUUGGUAGCCAGUAACUCUCCAUAGUAUAACCAUUGAGAAGGAGGAUAGGAUUUAGUACUUUUUCUCUGCUAAGCAACAAGGGAUUUCUAGCAUUUUUCCAGUGCCUGCUUCUAAUGAUAUAUCCAUCCGCUGCAUGGUAUUGAUGAAGCCAGCAUCAUUAUAUAUGGAGAAAUUCAAGCUCAGGAAAUGAUGUGUCCCAUUCAGUUGUUUUUAUGACGAGUUAAUAAAUCAUGAAAAAGCAACAUAGUUCAAAGUGUUGACAGUUUAAUCUUAAUUGACACCCCCGUGAUCGUAUUUUGCUUCUUUAAUUUUAAGACUUGUGAUUUCUGAAUACCUGUUCUUAUAUCAUCGAUUGUGCUGCUUGGAUAACUCUUAUCGCAUGAAUCUUUUACGAUGAAGUUCUCGCGAGUCCCUCGUGGUAUUUGUAAGAUGUAAGUCCUUAUGAGUGUCUGUAUAAGAAGAUGUAUGAAUCUUCCUCUCCCGUUUCCUUCAAGGCUUAUAAAGCACUUCAAAAGCUCUGUGAAGGAAACUCUAAGCUCUCCUUUCAAAUUCAGCAUGGUGUCUGUUGAGCCACUCUGAGCAACUUCAUUAAAUGUAACAUACAGUGUUGUUGUCUCCCUCCAAGCGUACAAUGCGAACUGGAAAGGAUUCAUUAUCUUCUUUCCCUCAAGUAUAUAUCUGCAUUAAACUCAUAUAAUCAUAAAAAAGGAAAAUGGAAAAGAACUGGCAUUCUUUUGGGUACGAGUAAAUAAACAAAAUCUAACUUCAUCACACCUGGAACCAGAAGCAGCUGCAAGGAGAAGUCGAUAGCGCAUAUACUGCGUAUAAGGAGUUCUGCCAUCGACCACACACAAAUCCAUUUCCCCAUCUAUGACAUGUAAUCUGUCCUUUUCAAUGGCUUUGAACACUACAUACCCACCAGCCUUUCCUCUCAGAAGAGGGUGAGGUUCUCCUAUAAACCAGUUCCGUUUAUCACAGCUCUUAAGAUUCUCUGACUGCAUUUUCAUUUUUAGAUGAACUGUGCAUGGCAUGCCCCCCACAUAGCCUCUCAUAGUUUCUUUAAUCAGAACAGUUGAUUCAUUGUCAUUCUCUAAGUUUUUACCGGCGACAGAAAAUUGAUUCUGAUCAACAGCUGCAACACUAGCACUAAUUUUGUUUUUGUACUCGAGAAUGUCCUGCACAAGGUACCUGCUUGCAUGUUCAGCGGCUGUUGCAAUAGUAAGAGAUGGGUUUAUGCCAACGGAACAUGGGAUUAGAGAAGCAUCACAAACGUAGAGGCCUGCAUGCACAGUAGCAGGAGUUUUUGGGUCGAAAACCUGACCUUUAUGGUUGCAUACCCCACCUGAAGAAUCUGAAGAUGCAUUACAACCACCUAAAAGAUGAACUGCUGUGCUUCUGUACCUAGACAUGAAAAGGAUGCCCCCGAGUUUUUUGGUCAGCUUUUGAAAAGCCAUGACUUUUCGUGGAAGUAGAGGAUCCUGGGGUGGAUGAAAGCAGAUUUUGUCCGUGUCUUUUUCUAACAUGAUUUUCCCAUCACUUUCAUCAUAUCCCAUUGCAUUGAGAAUGAUAGAUUGGCUUAAGCCAAGACCUAGAAAAUGUUUCAGCCUAUGGACAAUCCCAUGAAAGAAUCGGUAACCAGUUGGCCAGUUAUAAGUUGUAAUCCCUUCAAACAACAUAUACGGAUAAGCUCUUGGAAGUAUAGCACUCUGCAGUGAAAAUUAAAAUGGUUAAGUGCUGGAGACUCGUAUAGAAGAACAUCAGCCACUCUAAUGUUUGUUUUUGUUUUCAUUCAGUUAUUUUAAGAUUAUACGCCUGUGUGCUUAAACAUAAGGGCAGUCAUUUAAGUCCAUCUCAGCCAUACCAAUCACCUUUUUCACACAGACUGCCUUUUCUUAGUAUGGACCAGUCAGCAUCCAAGGUCAUCAAAAGGAGCACUUGAGGUGAUUAUCAAGGAAAAUGGGCAUGUUAGACACCAUCUCAUCAGUGAUCAACCUAGAUUCCAGUUUGGUUUUAAAGAAGAUUGUUUUCAAGUUGAUUUUAACCAUCCUGUGACUUUAAUACAUUAAUGGACACUUUAAAGUUUAAACCAAUUCAAGUGUCUGCGCAUAGAGAAAAGUUUUAAACCUGGAUUGUAAAACCCAAUGAAGAAGUGUGAGAAGAAGAGAUAGAUGGCCCUGGCCUAUCUUGGAAAGGUAUCUCUGAUAAUUGCUUUCUGUUUAAUCCAUAACCAUUCAGGGGUGCAGGGCUUCCAGCAACAUAAGCGAGAGUAUUGCCAUUACAACUGAAUCCAGAUCCGAGAGUAUCCGAAAGCCGCAAUCCUCUCAUCUGUGACCGGAAAAGUAUCUCAGUUGUGCCCAAAACUCCAGCUGGGGAAACAAGUUUCGAAAUUGUUAAAUAUAACAACUAAAAUUUAUUGACUAAAUGCAGAACUCUUAUUGACUUUUUCCUACCUGACAGAAUUACCCAAUCGGAUGUUAUGUAGUCAAUCUCAUUUAUGUAAACACGCCAUCUUCUUUUUCUGCUAAUUCCGCCGGGUUGGCAAAUUCCAUGGGGAUUCUUGAUGACAUACGGAACUUGACAUUUUGUCCUUAUAGUGCAUCCUGCCUGCAAAAAAUAAAUUCUGAUGAACCACAGGAUUUCCUUACACACCAUAUUGUUCUCAAACCUUGAAAAUGUUAUGGUGGUCUCAAGUUUUGAAUCACAUCUACGCAAUAUUCAAGACAGAAAAAAAAUCCUUAUUGUCUAAAUAAUAUUAGAAAUGGUGGAAAACAUGCCUGUAUUGCUGAUAUUAGAUAGUUUUUAUCGGUAGAAUUUUUGGCGUUGUAAGGACACCCAGCAAGACAAUUUCCACAGGCAAAGCAGCUAUUAAUCUGCUCAGGCCUUGGUGGAUUAGAAGGAGGUUCUUCAACAUCAAAAUUCACACUUAGCUUUACAGAACUCUCAAUAUUUGCUUCAAACUCUCCUUCAGCUAUUUCUCCCAUGACUUUGGCUAUAGGAAAUUUGACUGAACUGCUUUGAAUUCUCAGCAUUGCUGCAGCAGAAGACUCACAAAUAUCCCAAUCUCUUUCCCAUUCCUUUGGCCAUUUUAGAUUCCUUCUAGCACGAAUUGGUGUUGGCAGCAUCACUCCAGCAUUGAUUAGGGAACCUCCACCAAGUCCACAAGCCACUGCUGCUAAAGAAUCAUUCUGUUCAUAUAACUAGAACUUUGUAAAGUCAGUGAUUGACUGAACUCAAAGAGAGAUGGUAAAAAAAUGCUUUAAUCGAGCUUUAGAUUCCAUGUGUUUAGAAUACUCUUUCACUUCCUGAUGGCUUGGAUGUGUUUUUUGUGCAGACAUACGAAAAAUAUGUCGAAUUACAUUGUUGUGUCAUGUCCUUAGCACUUGUGUCAAAUGUUUUUUAUAAUAUUUUACAGUAACUAUUAAUAUAUCGUAUAGCUUCAAAUGCUAAGAGACCAAACCUAGAUCUAGUUACUUUAUUUUCGUUUUAAGCAAAUAAAAUGCACACAAAACAGUACAGGUGACCCUGAAAGAGAGAAGGACAGGAGAAUGACCUGAAAUAAAGCAUCCUCUGGUCCAAAUCUGAUGCCUAAGUUCUGGUUCUGAUACCUCACAGCUGACAUAAUCUUCCAGCUGUCAGUUGGGAAAUCCUCUGCUUUCCAUCUCCGACCUUUCUCUAGCAGACAAACCUUUAUUCCCGCCGUUGACAUUCGACAAGCAGCAACAGAACCACCAUAUCCAGACCCCACAACAAUAGCAUCAUAAUCAUCUCCUCUGUCUUCAGGCCUUAGUUCUAUCUCUGCUUGUUUCUCCAUUUUUUUUUUAUCCCAGAACUAGCAAUCAAGGAGUAAAUGGCAAUAUAUAUCUUACUGGCCAGAGAAGAAAACAAGUGCGAAGAACAAUGGGAGAAUUUCAGUUUUAGAUUCAGGUAAAUAUAUAUAUACCGCCACCAUUAAGUGAUAUAUAAUUUAAAGAAGAAAGCAUUCAAGACAGGCUGCUUUGGAUAUUCAAAGCACGUAGCUGCAAGAUAUAGACCAACUUGGGAUCUCAUGGCUUCUUACUCUACAAAUUCCUUCAUUUAAUAAAUAGAAAUAGAACAAGGCAGUGAUGUAAGCGUAUCGAAGAGUCUGAUAUUUCUGAAGUGCUAUUUACUGUUGGAUUGAUAGCUUUUUAAAAUAUUUUUUUUAUUUUAAGUCAAAUAAAAGAUAGAGUUAAUAUCUUGACAUUAAAAUAUUACAAUUUUUUGAUCAAAUUACAGUAUUAUACGUAAAUUUUAUUAGAUAAUUUUAUAGGCUCAGUUUUAUACGCCACCCGUUGUUGUAAAUAGUUGAGUUUUGAAAGACCCUCAGAUUAGUCUUGGAUGAAUGUUUAAGAAAAUUUUGUUUUCAAUUUAAUUUCAGAAUUUAUGUUGUAUUUUUUUUUAUUUAGGGCUUUAAUUCUCCUAUUUUAUAAAAAUCGAAUUUGUUCUAUUUAAAUAGCUAUGAACCUUUUAGAAAAGCAAGCCAUAUUAAGAAAAUUAUUUAGUAAUAAAACACGAAUUAAGAAAUUUAAACACGAUCCUACAAUUUUAUUUGAAAUUAUCAUUGUUUUUUUUUUUUAUUUACGUGGGUGUCUGGGCCAGCUUGCGCGUACCACGACUAAUCCCACGACCCACUGAACAUCCUGCAAACCCAGUGAGCAUAUAAGGCACCGCGGGGGUGACAGACGUGUACGGUGAGGUUUGAACCCUGGUGAGGUGGAAAGGAACAAGCCCCUUCCACCACUAGGCCAAGACCUCAAGUGCAAAUUAUCAUUGUUUUCAUAAAGGGCAUUAGAUGCAUCAUCAGAGGUUCUUUGCGUGUCUAUUUUGUAAUUUAGAGUGUGUUUGAAAAUAUAAUUGUUAUUGUUUUUAAAAAUGCUUUUCAUUUAGAAAAACAUGUUAAUAAUUUUUUUUUAUUUUUUAAAAUUAGCAUAUCAAAAUGAUUUAAAAUAUUAAAAACAUAUUAAUUCAAACAAAAAAAAAUUCAAAUUUUUUUAAAAGUGCUUUUCAAACGCACUGCCAAACACGUUCUUAAACAUUCCUAGCGUUAGUGUGCAGUUGAAGCGGCUUUUGGAGUGGUUUUUUUAAAAUAUUUUCUAUUUAAAAAUAUAUUAAAAUUAUGUUUUUUUUAUUUGUAAAAGUUAUUUUUGAUAUCAACUUAUUAAAAUGAUCUAAAAAUAUUAAAAAAUAUUAAUUAAAACAAAUUCAAUUUUUUUCAAAAACACUUCUAAAAUAUAAAAAUAAAUAUACCAAGUUAACUUGUAAUUUUAUUAAAAAAACUUCUAAUUAGUCUUAUAUUGUAACACACAAUCAUUGCCAAAACGAAAAGUUUAUCAAUUCAUUUUGAAAAUUGUUUGUUUCGAAGAUUUUUUUUUUUUUGCCGUGGAUGAGAUAAAUUCCUUUUUGAUAUUAAUACUAGGGUAAAAAAAUUCUAAAUCUUAUUGAUUUAAUGAAUAAUUUAAAUAAUAAAAAAAAAAUAUAACAACAAUAAAUAAUCUAACAUAAAAAAAAGACAAUAGCAUCAUAAUCAUCUACUCUGUCUGUAGUUCUAUCUUCGUGUUUCUUCAAUUUUUAUUUUUAUUUUUGUGCCGGAAUAAGCAAUCCAAGAGUAAAUGGCAAUAUAUUUACCAUGUGAAAUCAUGUAAAAAUUAUAUAAUUUUACAAGUUAAAAUAUAUUUACAGUGUGAAAUCAUGUAAAAAUAAUAAAAAUGGAUAAAAAUAAAUAAAUAAAUCAGAAUUUAAAAUGAAAAACUUCAUAACAAAGAAGAAUCAUAGAAAAGAAAAACCUCUUCCAUGAGUAGAAAAAUCUUAUUACGCCUACUCCUAAUGUUGUCCUGAAUUUCUUGCAUCUGCAUUUGAACAAAUCCUGAACUGUCUCUGGUCCUUCUAUAAUGCAAAAAUUGCUGCAAGAAACAAGAAAACGACAUGAGCAAACAAUUUGGCAAAAACCCUUAAUUCUUUUCUUUUAAUCAAAAGAUUAAUGUGAAAAAACAACCUAUAACAGGCGUUUAGAAUAUGAUAAAAAGAGAAGAGCGGAGGAGUUAGCAGGAGGAGAAGAGCGGAGAAUUCGAGAAGGAGAGUUGUCGUGUUUGAGUGAUAAGAAGCUGAGUCUUGGAUUUCCAUGUGAGGGAGAGAAGGUUUUUGAGGAAAUAAGAUUUGGAGAAAGAAAACGAUGAUGAUAGGAGCAAAGACAAAAGGUAGCCAUUGUAGUGUUAUCCUUGGAUUAGCUCAUUACAAAGAUGGAUUUUGGCAAUUUGAUAGUCCUCCUUUUUUCUUUUUUCUAUAUUUGUUUCUUGCAAACGUCGGGGAGAAAUUGAGUGGGUUU